GCUAGCGGCAGGCCUAACACAUGCAAGUCGAGGGGUAACAGGAAGUGCUUGCACUUCGCUGACGACCGGCGCACGGGUGAGUACCGCGUAUACAAUCUGCCUCAUACUAGGGGAUAGCCCGAAGAAAUUUGGAUUAACACCCUAUAGUAUCUUUUUAAGGCAUCUUAUUAAGAUUAAAGGUUACGGUAUGAGAUGAGUAUGCGUUCUAUUAGCUAGUAGGUGUGGUAACGGCACACCUAGGCUACGAUAGAUAGGGGCCCUGAGAGGGGGAUCCCCCACACUGGUACUGAGACACGGACCAGACUCCUACGGGAGGCAGCAGUGAGGAAUAUUGGACAAUGGGCGAAAGCCUGAUCCAGCCAUGCCGCGUGCAGGAUGACUGCCCUAUGGGUUGUAAACUGCUUUUAUAUAGGAAGAAAAACUUUCUCGUGAGAAAGCUUGACGGUACUAUAAGAAUAAGGAUCGGCUAACUCCGUGCCAGCAGCCGCGGUAAUACGGAGGAUCCAAGCGUUAUCCGGAAUCAUUGGGUUUAAAGGGUCCGUAGGUGGACAAAUAAGUCAGAGGUGAAAUCCUGCAGCUCAACUGUAGAACUGCCUUUGAUACUGUUUGUCUUGAGUUAUUAUGAAGUGGUUAGAAUGUGUAGUGUAGCGGUGAAAUGCAUAGAUAUUACACAGAAUACCGAUUGCGAAGGCAGAUCACUAAUAAUUAACUGACACUGAGGGACGAAAGCGUGGGUAGCGAACAGGAUUAGAUACCCUGGUAGUCCACGCCGUAAACGAUGGUCACUAGCUGUUUGGACUUCGGUCUGAGUGGCUAAGCGAAAGUGAUAAGUGACCCACCUGGGGAGUACGU
rnacentral:rRNA from 1 species